UACGUAGGGAGCAAGCGUUAAUCGGAAUUACUGGGCGUAAAGCGUACGCAGGCGGCUUUGCAAGACAGGUGUGAAAUCCCCGGGCCUAACCUGGGAACUGCAUUUGUGACUGCAUGGCUAGAGUUUGUCAGAGGGGGGUGGAAUUCCACGUGUAGCAGUGAAAUGCGUAGAUAUGUGGAGGAACACCGAUGGCGAAGGCAGCCCCCUGGGAUGUGACUGACGCUCAUGUACGAAAGCGUGGGGAGCAAACAGG
rnacentral:rRNA from 1 species